rnacentral:rRNA from 1 species
UACAGAGGGGGCAAGCGUUGUUCGGAAUUACUGGGCGUAAAGGGCGCGUAGGCGGCCUACUAAGUCGGACGUGAAAUCCCCGGGCUCAACCCGGGAACUGCGUCCGAUACUGGAAGGCUUGAAUCCGGGAGAGGGAUGCGGAAUUCCAGGUGUAGCGGUGAAAUGCGUAGAUAUCUGGAGGAACACCGGUGGCGAAGGCGGCAUCCUGGACCGGUAUUGACGCUGAGGCGCGAAAGCCAGGGGAGCAAACGGG